UCAACCAUAGUGUGCUCUGGAAACUGUNUGACUUGAGUGCAGAAGGGGAGAGUGGANUUCCAUGUGUAGCGGUGAAAUGCGUAGAUAUAUGGAGGAACACCAGUGGCGAAAGCGGCUCUCUGGUCUGUCACUGACGCUGAGGCUCGAAAGCGUGGGUAGCGAACAGGAUUAGAUACCCUGGUAGUNCACGCCGUAAACGAUGAGUGCUAGGUGUUAGGCCCUUUCCGGGGCUUAGUGCCGGAGCUAACGCAAUAAGCACUCCGCCUGGGGAGUACGACCGCAAGGUUGAAACUCAAAGGAAUUGACGGGGGCCCGCACAAGCGGUGGAGCAUGUGGUUUAAUUCGAAGCAACGCGAAGAACCUUACCAGGUCUUGACAUCCCGAUGCUAUUCUUAGAGAUAGGAAGUUACUUCGGUACAUCGGAGACAGGUGGUGCAUGGUUGUCGUCAGCUCGUGUCGUGAGAUGUUGGGUUAAGUCCCGCAACGAGCGCAACCCUUAUUGUUAGUUGCCAUCAUUAAGUUGGGCACUCUAGCGAGACUGCCGGUAAUAAACCGGAGGAAGGUGGGGAUGACGUCAAAUCAUCAUGCCCCUUAUGACCUGGGCUACACACGUGCUACAAUGGUCGGUACAACGAGUUGCGAGCCGGUGGCGGCAAGCUAAUCUCUGAAAGCCGAUCUCAGUUCGGAUUGGAGGCUGCAACUCGCCUCCAUGAAGUCGGAAUCGCUAGUAAUCGCGGAUCAGCACGCCGCGGUGAAUACGUUCCCGGGCCUUGUACACACCGCCCGUCACACCACGAGAGUUUGUAACACCCGAAGUCGGUGAGGUANCCUUUUAGGGGCCAGCCGCCU
rnacentral:rRNA from 1 species